rnacentral:rRNA from 1 species
ACUAAGCGUACACGGUGGAUGCCCUGGCAGUCAGAGGCGAUGAAGGACGUGCUAAUCUGCGAUAAGCGUCGGUAAGGUGAUAUGAACCGUUAUAACCGGCGAUUUCCGAAUGGGGAAACCCAGUGUGAUUCGUCACACUAUCAUUAACUGAAUCCAUAGGUUAAUGAGGCGAACCGGGGGAACUGAAACAUCUAAGUACCCCGAGGAAAAGAAAUCAACCGAGAUUCCCCCAGUAGCGGCGAGCGAACGGGGAGGAGCCCAGAGCCUGAAUCAGUGUGUGUGUUAGUGGAAGCGUCUGGAAAGGCGUGCGAUACAGGGUGACAGCCCCGUACACAAAAAUGCACAUACUGUGAGCUCGAUGAGUAGGGCGGGACACGUGGUAUCCUGUCUGAAUAUGGGGGGACCAUCCUCCAAGGCUAAAUACUCCUGACUGACCGAUAGUGAACCAGUACCGUGAGGGAAAGGCGAAAAGAACCCCGGCGAGGGGAGUGAAAAAGAACCUGAAACCGUGUACGUACAAGCAGUGGGAGCCUCUUAAUGGGGUGACUGCGUACCUUUUGUAUAAUGGGUCAGCGACUUAUAUUCUGUAGCAAGGUUAACCGAAUAGGGGAGCCGAAGGGAAACCGAGUCUUAACUGGGCGUUAAGUUGCAGGGUAUAGACCCGAAACCCGGUGAUCUAGCCAUGGGCAGGUUGAAGGUUGGGUAACACUAACUGGAGGACCGAACCGACUAAUGUUGAAAAAUUAGCGGAUGACUUGUGGCUGGGGGUGAAAGGCCAAUCAAACCGGGAGAUAGCUGGUUCUCCCCGAAAGCUAUUUAGGUAGCGCCUCGUGAAUUCAUCUCCGGGGGUAGAGCACUGUUUCGGCAAGGGGGUCAUCCCGACUUACCAACCCGAUGCAAACUGCGAAUACCGGAGAAUGUUAUCACGGGAGACACACGGCGGGUGCUAACGUCCGUCGUGAAGAGGGAAACAACCCAGACCGCCAGCUAAGGUCCCAAAGUCAUGGUUAAGUGGGAAACGAUGUGGGAAGGCCCAGACAGCCAGGAUGUUGGCUUAGAAGCAGCCAUCAUUUAAAGAAAGCGUAAUAGCUCACUGGUCGAGUCGGCCUGCGCGGAAGAUGUAACGGGGCUAAACCAUGCACCGAAGCUGCGGCAGCGACACUAUGUGUUGUUGGGUAGGGGAGCGUUCUGUAAGCCUGUGAAGGUGUACUGUGAGGUAUGCUGGAGGUAUCAGAAGUGCGAAUGCUGACAUAAGUAACGAUAAAGCGGGUGAAAAGCCCGCUCGCCGGAAGACCAAGGGUUCCUGUCCAACGUUAAUCGGGGCAGGGUGAGUCGACCCCUAAGGCGAGGCCGAAAGGCGUAGUCGAUGGGAAACAGGUUAAUAUUCCUGUACUUGGUGUUACUGCGAAGGGGGGACGGAGAAGGCUAUGUUGGCCGGGCGACGGUUGUCCCGGUUUAAGCGUGUAGGCUGGUUUUCCAGGCAAAUCCGGAAAAUCAAGGCUGAGGCGUGAUGACGAGGCACUACGGUGCUGAAGCAACAAAUGCCCUGCUUCCAGGAAAAGCCUCUAAGCAUCAGGUAACAUCAAAUCGUACCCCAAACCGACACAGGUGGUCAGGUAGAGAAUACCAAGGCGCUUGAGAGAACUCGGGUGAAGGAACUAGGCAAAAUGGUGCCGUAACUUCGGGAGAAGGCACGCUGAUAUGUAGGUGAAGUCCCUCGCGGAUGGAGCUGAAAUCAGUCGAAGAUACCAGCUGGCUGCAACUGUUUAUUAAAAACACAGCACUGUGCAAACACGAAAGUGGACGUAUACGGUGUGACGCCUGCCCGGUGCCGGAAGGUUAAUUGAUGGGGUUAGCGGUAACGCGAAGCUCUUGAUCGAAGCCCCGGUAAACGGCGGCCGUAACUAUAACGGUCCUAAGGUAGCGAAAUUCCUUGUCGGGUAAGUUCCGACCUGCACGAAUGGCGUAAUGAUGGCCAGGCUGUCUCCACCCGAGACUCAGUGAAAUUGAACUCGCUGUGAAGAUGCAGUGUACCCGCGGCAAGACGGAAAGACCCCGUGAACCUUUACUAUAGCUUGACACUGAACAUUGAGCCUUGAUGUGUAGGAUAGGUGGGAGGCUUUGAAGUGUGGACGCCAGUCUGCAUGGAGCCGGCCUUGAAAUACCACCCUUUAAUGUUUGAUGUUCUAACGUUGGCCCCUGACCGGGGUUGCGGACAGUGUCUGGUGGGUAGUUUGACUGGGGCGGUCUCCUCCUAAAGAGUAACGGAGGAGCACGAAGGUUGGCUAAUCCUGGUCGGACAUCAGGAGGUUAGUGCAAUGGCAUAAGCCAGCUUGACUGCGAGCGUGACGGCGCGAGCAGGUGCGAAAGCAGGUCAUAGUGAUCCGGUGGUUCUGAAUGGAAGGGCCAUCGCUCAACGGAUAAAAGGUACUCCGGGGAUAACAGGCUGAUACCGCCCAAGAGUUCAUAUCGACGGCGGUGUUUGGCACCUCGAUGUCGGCUCAUCACAUCCUGGGGCUGAAGUAGGUCCCAAGGGUAUGGCUGUUCGCCAUUUAAAGUGGUACGCGAGCUGGGUUUAGAACGUCGUGAGACAGUUCGGUCCCUAUCUGCCGUGGGCGCUGGAGAACUGAGGGGGGCUGCUCCUAGUACGAGAGGACCGGAGUGGACGCAUCACUGGUGUUCGGGUUGUCAUGCCAAUGGCACUGCCCGGUAGCUAAAUGCGGAAGAGAUAAGUGCUGAAAGCAUCUAAGCACGAAACUUGCCCCGAGAUGAGUUCUCCCUGACUCCUUGAGAGUCCUGAAGGAACGUUGAAGACGACGACGUUGAUAGGCCGGGUGUGUAAGCGCAGCGAUGCGUUGAGCUAACCGGUACUAAUGAACCGUGAGGCUUAACC